CGCGCCGACCCGCCUAAUCGUGCACACACGAACCGGGGACCCACAGCAACACCGGGGUGAAUCCGCGAGCCACGGCCCGCGGUAGGGCGUACUUCCCGCCCGAAUCCGUCAGCUAACCCGGUCGGCGGCCACGGAAGGAGUU
rnacentral:sRNA from 2 species